rnacentral:snRNA from 1 species
GUGCUCGCUUCGGCAGCACAUAUGCUAAAAUUAGAAUGAUACAGAGAUUAGCGCGACCCCUGCGCAAGGAUGACACGCAGAUUCGUGAAGCAUUCCUUAUUUUU